UUGCCUCUUUAUUUCUUCUGAUGUAAACAUGUUGUUUCCCUCUCUUUCGUAUUAAAUCCCAGAACACAUGUACUACCCCAACAGAUCUCACAAAGGACAUAACCUAACAAACACGAUGUUGGUACCCCGCUGGGGGAAAAUACAUAUACAGACGAGGUAUAGAUAUAUAUUUUCUCUCUGCUAUAGAAUAGACGUGGCAUGCAAUGCUUUUUAUAUCUUCAAUCAAUGAUACAUAUUGCAGUAUUACAUACACGAUCGUACAUAUACAGAGGUCCAAUACUUGUCCAAUUU